rnacentral:lncRNA from 1 species
AAUAACGCACCCCCACACGUGUCGUCUACAGAAAAGCAAACAAACGCAGACAUUAGGGAGGCGGUCGCGGCGCGUGCGGGGCCCCGGCGCCGCCGCCGCUGUCGUUGCUCCGCUCACUCCUGCCUGUUUGGGGGGCACUUUGUUUGUGUCCCACAAUGCCUUGCGCAGGCGACUGGGCCGGGAAAAAGUGGUAGAGGUGGAGGAGCUGGGAGGAGCCCUCUAGAAGGCGGGGCAAGAAGGAGCGCGCAGGCGUAUUCCUGGGUCCGCUUUCCCCUUGCAGAAACCUGGACAGCCGUGAGCUAACGUGUAGCUGGCUCUUCCUGCCUGCUCCCUGCAGCCACGUACGGGGCCCGAGAACCUAGAGUUUGGCUUUCUGGCUCGGACACUUGCUAACUUUAGCAUGACCUUCUGCAAACUAGUUAACUUCGUCAUGCCUCAGUUUCCAAAUGCGUAAAACAAGGACAAACUCGUGAAAUUAACUUAUGAGCUUGGUUGUGUGGGAAGUACUCUACAAAUGCACCAAGUACUUGAACGUGUGUACAUUUGCGUAUCUAUUGAUGUACACCAUGUAUUUACACCGAUAAACAUGCUCAAUUCUGUCCUCAGACUUUUUUUACUUAGUGAUGUCCAGAGGAGAUGUUUUCCAGGCUAAAGGCAAGCUUGACUUACCAUUACAAACGAAAAGAAGAAUCUACCAGGAGAUUUCUUACCUCUUAUUGGGAUUCAGAGCUGUCAGGCCAUCACCAACCAGUACUCCUGACUUAUCUUGUCACUGGAUUUGAAUGAUCCUGGAAGAGAGGAUGGGGCCAAUACCUGUGCAACUCUGCCUCACUUUGAUUCAAUUGGUGCAUAAGUCAAGACAUCACCCCAUAAUGUCGAGUCCUCUUCAAAAAUGAAGGACAUAUAUGUAACCUGAAAAAAAAACCCAAAAUGAAAGACAAACAACAACCUCAUUGAGAGUAAGGACCCUUUCUUCCUUUCCUCUUCCUUCUCUCCCUCCCUUCUUACCUCUUUUCUUUGUGUGUGUAGGUAUAAAGUAGGCUCUCAACAUAUGCUUAUUAAAUUAUUAAAUAAAAAAAAUAUAAAAUAUAAAAUAUAAAUUAAA